CUUACUCAUACAUUGAUCGUAUAUAUAUAUAAACUCUGUUUCUUUGUCAAGAAAUUGGAUGGCGUCAACGCCACCACACUGCUCAAUCACUGCAACCAAGCCUUAUCAGAACCACCCAUACCCACAGAAUCACUUAAACAAUCACCGCCAAAGCCACCGCCAGAACCACCACCAUCGCUGGACCAAUCAGAAAGUCUCUCUUGCUAAACCCCCUCUCUGUCCCUCUCCCCGCAAUGCGCCAAAACCCGGUGCUUCCACCGCUGCCACUCCUCAGACCCAGAAUCCUACCUUCCCUUCUCUAUCUACUCUUCAAUCACAGAAAUCUGAGCUCGCAGCCGAUUUUUCGGGUCGCCGCUCCACCCGAUUCGUAUCCAAGCUCCACUUUGGGCGUCCGAAGGCCACUCUGAGUACCCGCCACACCUCAGUCGCUGAGGAAGCGUUGCAACACGUGGUCCUGUAUGGAAAAGACGAUAAGGCCCUUGAGAAUGUGUUGCUCAAUUUCGAGUCUCGGUUCUGUGGCUCCGAUGAUUAUACUUUCUUGCUUCGGGAGCUUGGAAACAGAGGAGACUCUUCUAAAGCGGUACGAUGCUUCGAGUUUGCAGUGAGAAGGGAAAAGAGGAAAAACGAGCAAGGAAAAUUAGCUAGUGCCAUGAUUAGUACUCUUGGUAGAUUAGGUAAAGUGGAGCUUGCGAAGGCUGUGUUCGAGACUGCUCUUAGAGAGGGUUAUGGUAACACUGUUUAUGCUUUCUCUGCUUUAAUUAGUGCUUAUGGGAGAAGUGGUUAUUGCAACGAGGCUAUUAAGGUUUUUUAUUCAAUGAAGGAUUAUGGGCUGAAGCCGAAUUUAGUCACUUACAAUGCUGUAAUUGAUGCGUGUGGGAAAGGGGGUUUGGAGUUUAAGAAAGUGGCGGAGAUCUUUGAUGAAAUGUUGGAAAAUGGAGUGCAACCAGACCGAAUUACAUUUAAUUCACUGCUUGCUGCGUGUAGUAGAGGGGGGCUAUGGGAGGCAGCUAGGAGUUUGUUUAGUGAAAUGGUGAAUAGAGGGAUUGAUCAAGAUAUAUUCACUUAUAAUACGCUUUUGGAUGCAGUCUGUAAAGGCGGGCAAAUGGACAUGGCUUUUGAGAUCAUGUCGGAGAUGCCUGCCAAGAAUUUAUUGCCUAACGUUGUUACUUACAGUACUAUGAUUGACGGGUAUGCUAAAGCUGGUAGAUUAGAUGAUGCUCUUAAUUUGUUCUAUGAAAUGAAGUUUCUGGGGAUUGGUUUGGAUAGAGUUUCAUAUAAUACUUUACUUUCUGUUUAUGCUAAGCUUGGAAGGUUUGACGAGGCCUUGGAUGUUUGUAAGGAGAUGGAGAAUUCUGGUAUUAGGAAAGAUGUUGUGACUUAUAAUGCGCUUUUGGGUGGGUAUGGGAAACAAUGCAAGUAUGAUGACGUGAGGAGAGUGUUUAAGGAGAUGAAAGGGGCACACAUUUCACCUAAUUUACUAACCUAUUCAACCUUGAUUGAUGUUUACUCAAAAGGUGGUCUAUACAAGGAAGCAAUGGAAAUUUUUAGGGAGUUUAAGCAGGCAGGAUUGAAGGCUGACGUUGUUCUUUAUACUGCACUUAUAGAUGCUCUGUGCAAGAAUGGAUUAGUGGAAUCUUCUGUGACUUUACUUGAUGAGAUGACUAAAGAGGGAAUUAGGCCUAAUGUUGUCACUUAUAAUUCUAUAAUUGAUGCUUUUGGCCGGUCACCAACAGCACAAUGCGUGGUUAAUGAUGUUGGUGAAGCCAGAGAAUUGCAAGUUAAGUCUUCAUCUUCAAGUGUUGUUCAAGAAGUUCGAGAAUCUAUUGAAAUUAAGAUGACUGAUAGGGAAGAUAAUAGGAUCAUAAAGAUUUUUGGGCAGCUUGCUGCUGAGAAGGAAUGUCAAGAAAAUAACAGUGGCAGGCAGGAAAUUUUGUGCAUUUUGGGUGUCUUUCAGAAGAUGCACGAACUGGAAAUCAAACCAAAUGUUGUCACUUUCUCUGCCAUUUUAAAUGCUUGCAGUCGAUGUGAUUCCUUUGAAGAUGCUUCAAUUUUAUUGGAGGAGCUUCGGUUAUUUGAUAAUCAGGUCUAUGGUGUGGCACACGGACUUCUAAUGGGUUACAGAGAAAACAUUUGGGUGCAAGCACAGUCCCUAUUUGAUGAAGUAAAGUUGAUGGACUCUUCAACAGCAUCUGCCUUUUAUAAUGCUCUGACUGACAUGCUAUGGCACUUUGGCCAGAAACGAGGGGCCCAACUGGUUGUGCUUGAAGGGAAACGUCGGCAAGUAUGGGAGAGUGUCUGGACUGAUUCUUGCUUAGAUUUGCAUUUGAUGU
rnacentral:misc_RNA from 1 species